rfam:Alligator sinensis unplaced genomic scaffold scaffold528_1, whole genome shotgun sequence
UGGUUCAGUGGUAGAAUCCUUGUUUACUAUACAGGAGACCUGGGUUUGGUUCCCAG